AACGAACGCUGGCGGCAGGCUUAACACAUGCAAGUCGAGCGCCCCGCAAGGGGAGCGGCAGACGGGUGAGUAACGCGUGGGAAUCUACCCAUCCCUACGGAACAACUCCGGGAAACUGGAGCUAAUACCGUAUACGCCCUUAGGGGGAAAGAUUUAUCGGGGAUGGAUGAGCCCGCGUUGGAUUAGCUAGUUGGUGGGGUAAUGGCCUACCAAGGCAACGAUCCAUAGCUGGUCUGAGAGGAUGAUCAGCCACACUGGGACUGAGACACGGCCCAGACUCCUACGGGAGGCAGCAGUGGGGAAUAUUGGACAAUGGGCGCAAGCCUGAUCCAGCCAUGCCGCGUGAGUGAUGACGGCCCUAGGGUUGUAAAGCUCUUUCACCGGUGAAGAUAAUGACGGUAACCGGAGAAGAAGCCCCGGCUAACUUCGUG
rnacentral:rRNA from 1 species